rnacentral:rRNA from 1 species
CCUACGGGGGGCAGCAGUGAGGAAUAUUGGUCAAUGGACGAGAGUCUGAACCAGCCAAGUAGCGUGAAGGAUGACUGCCCUAUGGGUUGUAAACUUCUUUUAUAUGGGAAUAAAAUGUUCCACGUGUGGGAUUUUGUAUGUACCAUAUGAAUAAGGAUCGGCUAACUCCGUGCCAGCAGCCGCGGUAAUACGGAGGAUCCGAGCGUUAUCCGGAUUUAUUGGGUUUAAAGGGAGCGUAGGUGGAUUGUUAAGUCAGUUGUGAAAGUUUGCGGCUCAACCGUAAAAUUGCAGUUGAAAAUGGCAGUCUUGAGUACAGUAGAGGUGGGCGGAAUUCGUGGUGUAGCGGUGAAAUGCUUAGAUAUCACGAAGAACUCCGAUUGCGAAGGCAGUUCACUGGACUGCAACUGACACUGAGGCUCGAAAGUGUGGGUAUCAAACAGGAUUAGAUACCCCUGUAGUC